rnacentral:rRNA from 1 species
UACCAGCUCUCCGAGUGGUGUGGAUGUUUAUUGGGCCUAAAGCAUCCGUAGCUGGCUGGACAAGUCCCCUGUUAAAUCCACCGAUUUAAUCGUUGGAGUGCGGGGGAUACUGUUCGGCUAGGGGACGGGAGAGGCAGACGGUAUUUUCGGGGUAGGGGUGAAAUCCUAUAAUCCCGGGAAGACCACCAGUGGCGAAGGCUGUCUGCUAGAACGCGCCCGACGGUGAGGGAUGAAAGCUGGGGGAGCGAACCGGAUUAGAUACCCGGGUAGUCCCAGCUGUAAACGAUGCAGGCUAGGUGUUUGGGCGGCCACGUGCCGCUCUAGUGCCGCAGGGAAGCCGUUAAGCCUGCCGCCUGGGGAGUACGGCCGCAAGGCUGAAACUUAAGGAAUUGGCGGGGAGCACCACAAGGGGUGAAGCUUGCGGUUU